rnacentral:rRNA from 1 species
UACGGGGGGUGCAAGCGUUGUCCGGAAUCACUGGGCGUAAAGGGCGCGUAGGUGGUUGGGUAAGGGUGUGGUGAAAGCCCGGAGCUCAACUCCGGGUCUGCCGUGCAGACUGUGCAACUCGAGGACUGUAGAGGCAGACGGAAUUCCGGGUGUAGCGGUGGAAUGCGUAGAGAUCCGGAGGAAGACCGGUGGCGAAGGCGGUCUGCUGGGCAGUUUCUGACACUGAGGCGCGACAGCGUGGGGAGCAAACAGG